UACAAGGAGUUCCCAGGCUAAGGGUGGAAUCAGAGCUGUAGCUGCUGGCCACAGCCACAGCCACUUGGGAACCGAACUGGGUCUGCCAUCUACACCACAGCUCACAGCAACAAAGGAUCCUUAACCCACUGCAGGGAUUGAGCCCGUAUCCUCAUGGAUACCAGUCGGGUUUCUCGCUGAGCCAAAACAGGAAAUCCCUGGUGAAAUUUUUUGUAGUCACUUGAAAGAUUAUUUAAAAAUUCCAGAUUAUAUCUUUAAAUCAUUCUGACUGUAAUUUCCUUCCUAAUAUCUAUUUUCAUGGAGUAGUCCAAAUCAAUUAUAUUUGAAUGGGGUGCCUUAUUUUUUUCCUACAAAAAAAGAGAACUCUUAGACCAUUUUCUUAAUUUUAGGGGUUAGCAAACAUUUAGUGUGGUAUGUCAAGCGUUUGUUUAGAAAAUUUUGAUAGUUUCAUUGCUAUCUAAGAGGACUGCUCAGGCUAGGGUAGAGUAGAGGGGUUUGCAGUGAGUUUUGAGAAACUACCAUCACCACCAAUUCCUAUACACAAAAAACAUACACAUAGAACUUUUGGAAAACCUGAGUUCAGAAGUACAAGAAGAACCAAGAAGCUACCAAAAGUACAAAUGAACUUCAGGGAGCUGUUCAUGGUACAGCAAAGAUUUAAAGAAUCAGGAAAAAAAAAACCUUCAGAGAAUUAUAUCUAGUCACUUGUGAUGAAACAUGAUAGAGGAUAACGUGAGAAAAAGAACAUGCGUGUGUGUGCAUAUAUAUAUAUAUAUACACACACACACAUAUACAUAUAGUCACACAAUGGCAGAACAAUGUAAAUCAAGUGGAGGUUCAUUUGGACUGGUAAAGGGGGCUUUUGGAUUAAUUAGUUGAAUCAGAUUAUUUUUCUUCCAGAUUAUUUUCUCUGUAUUUAAAUCCUUACAGAGAUAACAUAACCUAAACCAAGGAAAUAGAAAUGAUGUUAAUAUAAAGAAAUGAAAACAGAUGGAAAGAACUAUUUGGGGACCUAUCUGUAUAUUAGGUAGGAACCAAAAUUGGAGCGAAUUUAAUCAAGAGGGCAGUGGCAACUUAGGAGUCUCCAAGGAAACAUGGAAAAGGGAAGAAAUGGUGCUUCUUUUUCCUCCUGCUAUAUUUUAUACUGGCCAAGUCAGCCUCUUAGUUUCUCUUCUACCUCAGCUUGGUAGUUCUAUAUUUUAUCAAUUAUAUUAGCAAUGGGGAUGCCAUUCAAAAUCUGCAUCACUAUAACCCUGGCCUGAAUAUAAUUUCCAAGUGGUGAAAGCAGUUAAAAGUACCUCUCAGACAAAAAAUAAAUAAAAAAAAAAAAAACAGCACCAACUGAAGGGAUUUACAUAAAAGGAAAAAAAGUGGAAAAAAUAAUCUAGAAAACAUGAUGUUAUACAGGAAAUGGCAGAGCUGUUUUAAUCACAAAAGAAUGGGGUAAAGAAACUUCCAAAGGAAAACACAAUGCUUAAUCUACAAUUUUAUUUUAUUUUAUUUUAUUUUUUGCCUUUUCUAGGGCUGCUUCCCGAGGCAUAUGGAGAUUCCCAGGCUAGGGGUCUAAUCAGAGCUGUAGCCACCGGCCUACGCCAGAGCCACAGCAUCACAGGAUCCGAGCUGCGCCUGUGACCUACACCACAGUUCACAGCCACGCCGGAUCCUUAACCCACUGAGCAAGGCCAGGGAUCGAACCGCAACCUCAUGGUUCCUAGUCGGAUUUGUUAACCACCGCACCACGAUGGGAACUCCUACAAUUUUAUUUUAGACUAAUAUAUCAGACAAGGUUCACACAAUGGUCCUUUGAUAAUGCUAUAAAUAAAAAUGUAUGUUUCACUCAUACUAUCAAGAACUGCUUUGCUCUAUUUUUAAUUGUACCAUCAUAAAACAACUCUUUCCACCUUAAAACCAAUUUCUACACUUUAAGGGCUAUAGCAAUGCAAAACAAGAACUAUUCUAAACAAACGCAGUAUGAACUGUAAUAUUUGACAGUAUCACCACUGGCUGCUGAAAUAAUCCAGAAGCCUAUACAAUUUCAGUAAGUGAUUACAAAUGAAAUAAAGCUUGCCAACAGGCCUAGUUGAAAACCAACUGACAAUCAGGGAUUAUUAAAUUGGAAAUACAUGAUGAAAGAUAAUGCUACUUGGAAAACCAUACUGACAAUAUAGUGGAUGUCACACAGAACUCCCAAAAUUGGGAAGGGAAAGGACAGGAUUUCUCAUUUAAAUAUAUCUGAUGAUAUAUUAAUACAUCAGGGAUAUUAUAACAAGUUAUACUGUAACGAGUCAGGGAUAAGAGAAUGCUCUGCCUGCUGUUUCUAAAUGAACCCCAAGCUCACUUUGCAAACUAUGCAUUCCUUCUUUCUCUAAUUAAAAUUAUUAUUAUAUCUUUAACUGUAUUAGAAUACUAUUCCAGGGAACAGGAAAGGGGAAAACGGUGACUUAUACUUACAGAAAAAUGCUUACUCUGCCCCAGAGCCUGUACUGAGAACAUUAUGUGCCUUAUCUCAUGCAAUCCUUUCUACAACUCUCAGAGUUAAGUACUAUGAUGAUCUCUAUUUUGCAAAUGAGAAAAUUUGAAAUUUAGAGAAAUUAAAUGAUUUAUCGGAGGUCACAAGAUGAUCAGAAAGCAGCGCUAGAAGUCAAAACCAAGUCUGUCUGACACCAAAGUGCUUAACACGCUGUGCUGCCUCCAAUAGGGAGUGGAAAGACCAUUUUGAACACUUGUGUGAGGACUCCCUGAUCAAAUGCUGAUGGCACCUGGAAAAGGCCCAGUGUAUGCUGGUCGCUCCAAUGUUUAAGUGCCCCAGACACCCAAUAGAGUAGGAUCUACUUAUUCAAUUACCACUUUUGAUUUCUAUCACCUCAAACCACAAUGUUGCUGGCUUUUGCUACUGAAAUUCUAUUCAUUUCAACCCCUCAGACAUCGACAUUUAAUUUCCGGCCCUUUUUAUUUCUUUUGAGGAAAGAACACUUGGCUAGGAUCAGCAAAUCUGAGUUCUAGCC
ensembl:lncRNA